UCGAGACAGGGCGGGCCUGCCCUGUUCCCCAGAGAGGCAGGCGGGCAGGAGCUGCAGGGGCGGUGGUUGCCACGCUGGACAAAGGCCCAGGAGGCUGGGGAGCAGGGGGCGUGCUCGCUGCGGGCCCCUGGGGACAUCUGAUCCAGGCUGGGGCUGUGUCUGCAUCUGGGUGACCUCAGGGCCAAGUGGCUGUCCGUGAGAAUUCCCAGGUGGCUAGACGACAAGGGGCCCCUGCGCUUCCCUGGAGGGCUGGCCUGCGCCAUCGUUGGGGGCUCCCCCAGCCACUUGCCCUUCUCCUUCAGGAAUCUCAGGGCUUCCAGGGAUCCCUAACACAGCUCCUCCAGGUCCUGCAGGGACAUUUGGAGACAGAAAAGCAGGAGUGGAAGAGAAAGCCGAGCGCAGCGGAGGGAUGCUACAUAAAGACGACGGUGACCGUGGACAGAGGUUUCCCUCCUGUGCCAGGCAUAUCUGUCACCCGGAGCUUCUCACCUAGUUUUGCAAUAACCACAUGGGGUGUGGUGUC
rnacentral:lncRNA from 1 species